CCCGCCACUAUUCCUGUCUAAGUGACUGAGUAUAAUCCAGUGGAGGCUCAGACUAACCCAGCUUUAGGAAACAGGGCUGUCCAAACUAAUGGACAACUCUGUGCCGAAAAGUCUGGAACAAGA
rnacentral:snoRNA from 1 species